UUUUUUUUAUUAUUAUUAUUUGUACUGUUCUCUGAGGUCCACUUAUAAUUUUAUCAAGAAUCAUAAUUUAGAAGUAAUAAGCUGUUUUCUGUCCUGUUUCAACCCCCCUUAGUUCAGACUGCUCUGUUUGAAUAGGCAUGUCAGAUUGUAGACUGGGAAGUAAAUGCCCACUGCUAUGAUUGGCAAAUAGUUGUUUGUAUUUGACAGUGUAUAUUCCUUGUAAAUGGACGCUGCUGUGAUUUGGGUCAUGCGUAAUACGUAAACAACUCAAUAUCAAACAAUCUGUAAGAAGAGACAAAGCAAUAGUGACCAAGUAAUGAAAACAGUUACUUAUGUUGCAACAUUACUGUUGGCAGGGAUGGGCAGUAUAAAAUAAAAUUUUGUAUUUAAAUACGUUUACUAUGGAGCCAAAAGAGUAUCAAUAAAGAUAAAUGCACACACUACAUUCACAUAUGCACAUAUAGGAUUCAUACAUGCACACACAUGAUUCAUAAAUACACACACAGGAUGCACAAAUGCGCACAAAAUUCACAAAUGCACACACAAAAUUUAAAAAGCAAAGAAGAUUCACAAAUGCAUACAAAAUUCAGAAAUGCACACAAAAUACAGAAAUACACACACAAUUCAGAAAUGCACACAAAAUACAGAAAUACACACACAAUUCAGAAAUGCAAACAACAUUAACAAAUGCACUCAAGAUUCACAAAUGCACAGGACAAGAUUCACAAAUGUAUUUCUGAUGCACACACACAUAUAUCUUGAUUUACAAACUGCUUGCGGUCUGUGAACUUCACUGCAUUUGUGUGUGAAUUUUGAGACUCCCUUGACUUGGAUCGACACACAAAUGCCUUUUUUUAAACAGGGAAUGAUCUGCAACCAAUCAGAUAUCUCCCUUGUUUUAGCCAAUCACAAGAAUGCACCCCACGUGGGGGAUUUUAAAAAGGGUUUUAAAGGAUGAAGUUUGAGAUUUUAUGUUUUAAAGUGAUAUAUAACUUCUGAUGAUUUCUAAAAUGUUAUAGAGACAAAGGCAACGAGGAAGUCUUCUUUUUAAACAAAGGUCAAAACUCCUUUUGUAAUCUAGAUUUCUGAGGGUGCAUUCUUGUCAUAAAUUGAUAUUUUACUCUACAUAAUUUUUAACAAAAAGUAUUGGUAUAAUAUAUAUUUGGGAGUCUUAGACCUUCCCAACGAUAUAUAGUUUGUCAAGAUUAGAUUAAAUUUGAUUGUAAUAUAAAGUGAGUGAAGUGAAGUGACAUUCAGCCAAGUAUGGUGACCCAUACUCAGAAUUUGUGCUCUGCAUUUAACCCAUCCGAAAUGCACACACACAGAGCAGUGAACACACACACACACACUGUGAGCACACACCCGGAGCAGUGGGCAGCCAUUUAUGCUGCGGCGCCCGGGGAGCAGUUGGGGGUUCGAUGCCUUGCUCAAGGGCACCUCAGUCGUGGUCGUGGUAUUGAAGGUGGAGAGAGAACUGUACAUGCACUCCCACCCACCCACAAUUCCGUCCAGCCCGAGACUAGAACCUACAACCCUUCGAUUGGGAGUUCAACCCUCUAACUAUUAGGCCACGACUUCCCUUAUAGUAUAGUCAACGUAGGCGUCCCGUAUACGGGACGGGGUGACAUUUAACAGGUUAAAUCUAAUGUUUUUUUUGUUUGUUUGUUUUUUGUUUUGUAUUUAAACAUUUAAAAAAUGUUUUUUUUUUUUUUUUUCAAAAUAGAUAGGUAUCAGCCUCCUUAUUAGACUGCUGAUUUCCUGCAGGGAUUGGCAGUAUUUCAAAUACUGUCAUGGCCAAAAAUAUCGGCACCCUUGGUAAAUAUAAUCAAAGAAGGCUGUGAAAAUGAAUCUGCAUUUUGUUAAUCCUUUUGAUCGUUUAUUAAAACUAUUAACAAAAAUCGAACCUUUCAUUGGAUAAUAAUCAUUUAAAAUGGGGGAAAAUAUCAUUAUGAAAUGUUUUUCUCUAAUACUCAGUGGCCAAAUUAACGGCGCCUUUUUAUUCAAUACUUUUUGAAACCUUCAUUUGACGGUUUAACAGCUCUAAAUGUUUUCCUAUAAUGCCUGAUGAGGUUGGAGAACAUCUGACAAGAGAUCAGAGACCAUGCCUUCAUCCAGAAUCACUUCAGACCCUUUAGAUUCCCAGCUCCAUGUUGCUGCUUCUCCUCUUCAGUUCACCCCACUCAUUUUCUGUAGGGUUCAGGUCAAAGGACUGGAUGGGCCAUAGCAGAAGCAUGGUUUUGUGCCCAUUAACCCAUUUUUGUGUUGUUUUUGAGGUUUGUGUUUGGAGUUGGAGUCAGUCACUUACAGAUUUUUUAUAUGUUGGUAUUUGAUAGAAUCAAAGAUGCCAUUUUUCUGAAAAAGACGUCCAGGACCUCCAUAAGAAAUAUAGGCCCACGACAUAAAAAAUACAGCUGUAUAUUUCAUUGUACACAUGGGGUACUUUUUAUCCCUGUGUUCACCAAACCCAUCUAGAGUAUUUGGUGAUAAAAAGCUCAGUUUUAUUUUCAUCUGAUCAUAGAAGCCAGUCCCAUUUGAAGUUCCAGUCAAGUCUGAUAACUGAAUAUGCUGGAGUUUGUUUUUGGAUGAGCUAGAAUUUUUCUUGAAACCCUACCAAACAAAAUGUGGUGAUGCAGAUACUGUUUGACAAUUUUAUAAGGUUUUCUGACCACUAUAACUGUUUUCUAAAGUUUUCCAGCUGUGGUCUUUUGAGUCUUUAGCCACUCAACUCUCCACCUCACCGUUCGUUACGACGAUAUAAACACACGUCCUCUUCCAGGCAGUUUCGCAACAUUUUCUGUUGAUUGGAAAUUCUUAAUUAUUGCACUGAUGCCUUUUCUUAAAGCCACUUCACUAAUUUGUGAAACUCAAUUAUCUUUUGCUGCACAUCAGAAAUAUAAACUUAGUUUUUUCUCAUUGUGAUGGAUGAUUAAUGGAAUUUGGGCUGUGUUUUUCCUCCUAUUUAUAUUUCUGUGAAACAGGAAGCCGUGGCUGGAUAAUUUCAUGUUCAUAAUCACUCUGGACUGAUCAAAAUUGUCAAAUAUGAAUAGCAAUAUACUUCAGAAAUAUUUCACUCAAAAUAAUUUCUAGGGGUGCCAAUAAUUGUGUCCAACGUGUAUUUGAGAAAAACAUUCAUUUCAUAUUGAUAUUUCCCCUCCAUUUUAAAUUAUUAGUAUCCAAUGGAAUUGUAGAUUUUUGGAAUAAAAAAAAAAAAAUUAAUAAAAGAUCAAAAAGAUUAACUAUGCAGAUAAAUGUUCACAGCCUUCUUUCUAUCAUAUUUACCACGAGCGCUGUCUUGCUCUGUCUCCCUCGCGCAUAUUAAUCAAUUGGCACGAUGGUGUCGGUUUUAAUCAUUUAAAAUGAGAAUGUAAGUGUGCUCACCGCAUUUUUGUUUGCAAGUAAAAAUUUUAUUAGAUUUCAUAUCGUAAUAUAUAUCGCAGAAAAAUAAAAUAUCGCAAUGUCAUUUUUUCCCAAUAUCGUGCAGCCCUAGGUUAAAUACAAAAUAUAAUUUUGUAUUGUGCCCUUUUUGCCCCUGUAUGUAAUAUAGGGCUCAGGUGUCCCCAGAAUGUGUCAGUGAAGUUUCAGAUCAAAAUAACACACUGAUUAUGUGCAGUAUUUUAUCAUGCUGAAAAUACCUGUUUUUGAUUUAAAGCAAAAACAUGCUGAAAAACUGUCUAUCUCUUACAAUGCAAGUGAGCUGCUGCUCCCUACCCCUCUUUCCAGAAUAAGGCUGACCCUUACAGCUGGUCCCUUGGUUACUGUGGCAGAAAUAAACAUCAGUUUGUUUUUAAGUAUCAAGUUUAUCAUGCUCAAGUUCACAUGCCAUUACAAUUCUUUGACAACAUGAAGAGUUUAUUCUUUGAAUACAUUUGAACUUCUGAAAUAUGUUUUUUGAAGCACAUGCUCUUUCAUGUGAACUGUCAAAUACAAACAAGAUAAUGUGAAAAUCACACAAGCAUGGUUAUUUCUGUGAAGCUAAACAACUGCAUGUGUAUUUUGGAGGUAAUUCAGUAGCUAAACUCAGCAGGUUGUUGAUCUGAAUAUGAGGAUUUGUCAUAAAAAUAUUUUUAUUUGUAAGUUGAAAUUUACACUCACAGCUCUGAUGUGAAAAGCUGAAUCUUUCAAUUUGCACACACAGACAAUAAUCAAAACACCCAUGUUUUGUAUUGGAAGUUGCACCUACAAAUAGCUACAAAUGUGUAAAAUUACAUUCACACAAAGAUAUGACAGACACAAAUGUUUACAACAUAUUUACUUUUUCACUUCAAUUUCGCUGCACAAUGUCAAGUCUGCACUUAUAACCUCUCAGAUAUGGAAGUAGAAGUUCAAAUCCUAACGCUUUGACUUUUGCUGCUCCUUUUGCGGUAUUCCUGUUGCAAAACUUACUUGUGCACAGAUGUGACAGAGCCGGGGUGGGACUGUGGUACGAAUUAAGACAUUUUAUUGGUCGAUGCCUGACCAAUGAACAACACCAGCCAUCACGACUAGCCAAGAAAGAAAGAUGUUUAUUAUGUAUCAGUUAUAUGUAAAACACUGCAAACUACUUUCACUGAAUAUCCUUAGCUUUGACAUUAUUUUAAGACACUAGAUUCAUGCAAGAUGUUGCAUUAAUUGUCUAACAGAUAAUACCUGAAUGACGAGAUGAAUGCAGUGUCUUAAAAUCCUGUAAAAGCUAAGGAUAUUCAGUGAAAAGUGUUUGCAGUGUUUUAAAAAUAACUGAUACAUAAUAAACAUCUUUCUUUCUUGUAAAGUUGCGAUGGCUGGCAUUGUUCAUGGGCAUCGACCAAUAAAAUGUUUGCACCACAGCCCGCCCCCGGCUCUGCUCGCUCACAUCUGUACAUACAAGCGCAAGUGAGUUUUGCAACAGGAAUACCACAAAAGGAGUAGCAAAAGUCAAAGCGCUCAGGAUUUGAACUUGUACUGCCAGAUCUGAGAGGUUGUAAGUGCUGACUUGACAUUGUGCAGUGAAACUAAAUUAAAGUAAAGUAAAGUGAGAAUUAAACAUGUCUUAACAUCUGUGUAUGUCAUUUUCUUUAUGUGAAUGUCAUUCUACACAUUUGUAGCUACUACACAUUUAUUAUCUGCAACUUUCAAUUCAAAAGGUUUUCUGAUUAUUGACUGUGUGUGCAAAUUAAAAGAUUCAGCUUUUCACAUCAGAGCUGUGAGUAAAAAUUUCAGUUUACAAAUACAAAUAUUAAUAUGACAACUUCUCACAUUCAGAUCAACAAGCUCAAGAGUUUUGCUACUGUUUUACCUUUAUAGUGUAUCAGGGUAUUAGAUCUGUGAAACAGCAUCUCUUGGGCAUGGCGACAACACACUACUAACUCAGCUCAACCAGGCCUCGCUAAUCCCCCACCCUCCACCUUGAAUGGGAUUUAUUUGAAUGUGGGAUAUUAUCACGUACAUUCCAGGAACAAAAUUCGAACCAAAAUCGCGGGUUUGAUGGAAUUUAAAAACAGUGCUGACUGAUUGAGAGAAUCACUCCCUUUGCAGUGGACUUUGUGCCUAGUAACUUCGCAGAUCUUUUUCAUGCACAAACAACAACAUUACACACUGAAGGAAUUUGAAAAAAAAAAAAAAAAAAAACAUAAUAGGACCCUUUAA